UACGUAGGGGGCGAGCGUUGUCCGGAUUUAUUGGGCGUAAAGAGCUCGUAGGCGGUUUGGCAAGUCGGGUGUGAAAACUCCGGCUCAACUCGGAGACGCCACUCGAUACUGCCAUGACUCGAGUCCGGUAGGGGAGUGGCGGAAUUCCUGGUGUAGCGGUGAAAAUGCGCAGAUAUCAGGAGGAACACCGGUGGCGAAGGCGGCACUCUGGGCCGGUACUGACGCUGAGGAGCGAAAGCUAGGGGAGCGAACAGG
rnacentral:rRNA from 1 species